AGCAGCCGCGGUAAUUCCAGCUCCAAUAGCGUAUAUUAAAGUUGUUGCAGUUAAAAAGCUCGUAGUUGAAUUUCGGGGUCUGUCCGUCGGUCGGGCUUCACGGUCCGUACUGGUGUGAUGGGUUCCUACCUUCUGAAUAACCGGCAUGCCAUUCAGUUGGUGCGCCGGGGAAGCAGAGCUAUUACCUUGAAAAAUUAGAGUGCUUAAAGCAGGCUAGUGCUUGAAUAGAUUAGCAUGGAAUAAUAAAAUAGGACGGCAUGGUUCUAUUUUGUUGGUUUCUAGGAUCACCGUAAUGAUUAAUAGGGAUAGUUGGGGGCAUUAGUAUUCAAUUGUCAGAGGUGAAAUUCUUGGAUUUAUUGAAGACUAACUUCUGCGAAAGCAUUUGCCAAGGAUGUUUUCAUUAAUCAAGAACGAAAGUUAGGGGAUCGAAGACGAUCAGAUACCGUCGUAGUCUUAACCAUAAACUAUGCCGACUAGGGAUCGGACGAUGUUAAUUUUUAUGACUCGUUCGCGCCUUACG
rnacentral:rRNA from 1 species